rnacentral:rRNA from 1 species
UACGAAGGGGGCUAGCGUUGCUCAGAAUCACUGGGCGUAAAGCGCACGUAGGCGGAUUGCUAAGUCAGGGGUGAAAUCCUGGAGCUCAACUCCAGAACUGCCUUUGAUACUGGCGAUCUUGAGUCCGGGAGAGGUGAGUGGAACUGCGAGUGUAGAGGUGAAAUUCGUAGAUAUUCGCAAGAACACCAGUGGCGAAGGCGGCUCACUGGCCCGGUACUGACGCUGAGGUGCGAAAGCGUGGGGAGCAAACAGG